rnacentral:lncRNA from 1 species
CAAAGGCUUACUUCUUGCUUGCUGUAUCAGUCAAGAUAAAUGGGAGGACAGUUCCUCCCUUAGACCUUUGGAGAAAUAAUGUACAAGCUAAUCCUGCUUUCAGUUAAGUCAGUGCCAAACUGCCUAUAGGAGUAGCUUAAUAGAAAGAUGAAGUUUUAUGAAUUCAGAGACCGUGAACUGGUGGUUUAUUUUCUGUGUCGCAGAACACCACAGGAGGGACCGAUGUGCCUGUGGUGUGCAUACAUCACGACUCACCCUAGUGACAAUGUGGGAAGGGGCACCCGAAGGGUUUCUGCCCUUGUGUGGCGUCCUUGGGGAGACCAAAGGAUCCAAUUCCCCUGGCAGGGAGUCGGUACAGGCAUCUUGCGUUCACGUGCAGGAUGAUGUUUGCCCAGCAAAGCCCACAUGCUCCAGCCAUCUGAACGUGUUAAAAGGGACAAGAUUAUGGCAGAACCAAUUACUCCUUUCCAGGAGGCAGAGGAAGGAUUUGGUACCACUUCACAUGGGAGGGAUGGAAAGAGGAAUAGUUUAAUGCUGGCCAGAGAGGUCACUGAUUCACUUCGCAUAAACCAUGGGGACCUUCUUGGGACUCUGCCAGCACCUGGGAGAAUUACAGGUGAAUACCAAAGUUCUCCUUCUCACACAGCCCCAGUCUGUAGCCUGGUGAAGAAGGACACGAAGAUGCUCAGGGGGCUGGAGCACCUCUCCUAUGAAGACAGGCUGAGAGAGCUGGGGUUGUUCAGCCUGGAGAAGAGAAGGCUCCGGGGAGACCUUAUAGCAGCCUUCCAAUAUCUGAAGGGAGCCUACAGGAGAGCCGGAGAGGGACUCUUUGUCAGGAAGUAUAGUGACAGGACAGGAGGUACUGGUUUUAAUUUGGAAGAGGGGAGAUUUAGAUUAGAUACCAGAAAGAAAUUCUUUCCUGUGAGGGUGGUGAGACACUGGAACAGGUUGCCCAGGGAAGCUGUGGCUGCCCCAUCCCUGGAGGUGUUCAAGGCCAGGCUGGAUGGGGCUUUGAGCAACCUGCUCUAGUGGGAGGUGUCCCUGCCCAUGGCAGGGGGGUUGGAACUCCAUGAUCU